GAGCCAGCAGCUGCAGGACGAGUUGUACUGAAUCCCAAAUCAAGAUGGCCCCCGCACCACUCGUUGUUUCUCCCUUGAUCAAGUUUGCAAGGUACUCUGCCUUGUUUGUUGGCAUCGCCUAUGGAUCAAGGCACAACAAGACGUUAGAAAAGAAGGAGGCAUACAUCCUGGAUAUGAAGGCGAAGGCAAAGGAAGCCGAGGACAAGAAAGUUGAGCAGGCAGCAGUAGUAGCAGCAGCAGGUGGAGAAGGCAGUAUUUUCGACUAGAGCCAUCUUCAUGCCCAGGUUGACCAGCAGUCACAAGUAGCUUCAAGGGGAAACCCCAUCGUAGAGUGAUGUCAUUGAUGAGCAUCCCUAAUCACCACGGUAACAUGACUUAAGGAGCGAUGCACCACCACCACACCAUCAUCAAGCAUCACGACCGAGACAGCCUCUAUAGACAACAAAAACAGUCUGGAUCGUAGGGAGUCCGGAUAACUUAAAAUCUUCACUAGUCUCUGAUGUUCUUCGAGGUCACCCAAGCAACAUCACUAACACUUGUAACUGCUAGUCCCUUUUCGCACCUGGACUGUCGUGUAAAUCAUCCUGUAAAAAAAUGAACUGAUGUGUUGUGUUUUGCAGAAUGCAGAGAGAUUUAUAUAUUUAAUAAUAGCCUUUGAGCCUGCCCACAUGAACAUUUAAUUCUACUGGGUUUAGCAAAAACAUCCACAUUUUCCAACUUUGAUUUUCAUGGUAUUCUUAAAGAAUAAAAAAAUAUCUUAUUUCAUGUAAAAUGGAAUUUGAAUAAAGCAUUAUCAAAGGAA